rnacentral:rRNA from 1 species
AGCGAACGCUGGCGGCAGGCCUAACACAUGCAAGUCGAACGAACUCUUCGGAGUUAGUGGCGGACGGGUGAGUAACACGUGGGAACGUGCCUUUAGGUUCGGAAUAACUCAGGGAAACUUGUGCUAAUACCGAAUGUGCCCUUCGGGGGAAAGAUUUAUCGCCUUUAGAGCGGCCCGCGUCUGAUUAGCUAGUUGGUGAGGUAAAGGCUCACCAAGGCGACGAUCAGUAGCUGGUCUGAGAGGAUGAUCAGCCACACUGGGACUGAGACACGGCCCAAACUCCUACGGGAGGCAGCAGUGGGGAAUCUUGCGCAAUGGGCGAAAGCCUGACGCAGCCAUGCCGCGUGAAUGAUGAAGGUCUUAGGAUUGUAAAAUUCUUUCACCGGGGACGAUAAUGACGGUACCCGGAGAAGAAGCCCCGGCUAACUUCGUG